rnacentral:lncRNA from 10 species
AUACUAGUACUAGGAUAGUACUAUACAAAUUAGACAAUUUGUACAAAAUGGACUAUAUAAUAUUCUAAAUUAGUAAUUAUUAUUCCAUAGUUCUAUAUGGAAGGAAAUACAACCAUGAAUCUUACAGGGCUGAAGUAAAAUAGUAAGAGAUCAUGGACUGAGUUGGGAAGACUGGCUUUGAUAGUUCUUAGCUGGGCAAACUAGGCUCAGUCUCUGGUCUGUUACCUCAUCAGUUACCCCAUACAAAAUGGCAUAAUACAUUAUAUGACCACUUUAUAGAAUUUUGGGGGGUCCAAUGGGACAAUUAAUGUGGAAAAUAUCUUGUAAACCAUGAAAUACUAGACUUUUUAUGUAUUAUCAUUAUUAUUAAAUGCACUGUUUAGUUGACAGAGCUGCUAUGCAACAAGAUAAAUAGGUAAUUUUUGUGUUUAAAAAGUGUCUCUCAGAGAGAAAUCUAUGCUCACUGGUCUGAUGGUGUCAGAAAAAAAAAAUACUUUCGCAUGGUAAAUAGCCAUUUCUGUUCUGAAGGCUAAAUUCUGUGUCCUCUGUCAUUAUAAAACCAGUUAUUGAUCUUGACAAGUACAGAAAGUACUUUGCAGAAAAUAGAUAUGACAAGGUCCCUAAGUACUAGGUUUGCAUCUAAACAGAGAUAGAAGACUUGGCCUCAAUAAUAAAGCUCACCCACUUCCCUGAAAGUAUGGCCUAACCCCGAAGGUUUGGAAAUCUGUGAAUACAGAAUAAAAGGUAACUAGGCAAACUCAUGAGUUUGUCUCUACACAUGUCAGUAAAAACGUGGGUAUACUCAUGCAUCACAGCCCCUUAUCAUAAAUGGAAAUUUGGAAAUGGCUCAUAUAGACACUUUGUGGGAUGUAGUAGCAUUGACAAAAAUAGAACCUAUGUUUCUAGCCUUAAAACAAUAAAAAGUAACUAAUCUUUUACACAAGAGUCAACUUUCAGCAAGCCACAAGCUGAAUUAUGGGAUAACACACUGAUUAUUUGAUAAGUGUGCUGUUUUUAUUCCCUCUAAUCAAGUACAAAGAUCUUGUUCAAAUUCCCAUCUCAAUGUGAUAAGUGUACUCAGCAAAUAAUUAAACAUAGAGUAAACAAAAAACUUCAUAAAUCUCUUUUAGAAGCAACUUUACAUUUUGUUCCCAAAAUGAUCUGCCUGCCUCAGUCUUCCAAAGUGCUGGGAUUACAGGUGUGAGCCACCACACUUGGCUACCAUUUGAAUUUUCAUAAGGAUUGUAUUGAAUCUUUGGGUAGUAUGGACAUUUUAACAGUAUUAAGUCUUCCCAUCCAUAAACACAAAACGUCUUUCAAUUUAUUUGCAUCUUCUUUAAUUUCUUUCAUUAACGUUGUAUAGUUUUCAGUCUUUCACCUUCUUGGUUAUGUUUAUUCCUAAAUAUUAUAUUUUUUGAUGUUAUUGUAGAUAAAUUUUUUUCUUAAUUUCCUUUUCAGAUAGUUCAUUGUUAGUGUACAGAUACAAAAGUGAGUUUAACAUGUUGAUUUCAUAUUCUGCAAGUUUACUGAAUUUGCUUGUUUCAACAGAUUUUUGUAGAAAGAGGGUUUUCUACAUAUAAGAUCAUGUAAUCUGCCAAGAGAAAUAGUUUUACUUCUUUCUUUCUGAUUUGGAUGCCUUUGCUUCUUUUUCUUGCCUAAUUCCUUUGAUUAGGACUUCCAUUACUGUGUUGAACAAAAAUGGCAAAAAUGGAUGUCCUUGCCUUGAUUAAGACCUUAUAGAAAAAGCUUUCAGCUUUUCAUCACUGAGUAUUCAGUUAGCUGUAGACUUGUCAAAAAUAUGGCCUCUAUUAUAUGUAGGUAAAUUCUUUCUAUACCUAAUGUAUUUUAGAGUUUUUGUCAUGAAAAGGUGUUGAAUUUUUUCAAAAACUUUUAUUAAGAUGCAUCUAUUAAGAUGAUCAUGUUAUUUUUAAUCCUACCAUUAAUGUGAUGUAGUACAUUAAUUGAUUUGAGCAUGCUGAACCAUCUUUGCAUUCCAGGGAUAAAUCUCACUUGAUCAUAGUAUAUCAUCCUUUUAGUAUUUUUAGUACGCUGUUGAAUUCAGUUUUCUAGUGUUUUGUUGAGGAGUUUUGCAUCUAUAUUUAUCAGAAAUAUUUAUCAGUAAUUUUCUUUCUUUGAGUGUCUUUUUCUGGCUUUAGAAUCAAGGUAACAUUGGCCUUAAAAUGAAUUUGGAAGUGUUCCCUCUUCUUCAUUUUUUGGGAAGAGUUUAAGAAGGAUUGGUGUUAAUUCUUCUUUAAAUGUUUGGUAGAAUUUACCAAUGAGGGGGCCAGGUGUGGU